rnacentral:rRNA from 1 species
UACCAGCACCCCGAGUGGUCGGGACGUUUAUUGGGCCUAAAGCAUCCGUAGCCGGUUCUACAAGUCUUCCGUUAAAUCCAACUGCUUAACAGGUGGGCUGCGGAAGAUACUAUAGAGCUAGGAGGCGGGAGAGGCAAGCGGUACUCGAUGGGUAGGGGUAAAAUCCGUUGAUCCAUUGAAGACCACCAGUGGCGAAGGCGCUUGCCAGAACGCGCUCGACGGUGAGGGAUGAAAGCUGGGGGAGCAAACCGG